rnacentral:rRNA from 1 species
CCUACGGGGGGCAGCAGUGAGGAAUAUUGGUCAAUGGACGAGAGUCUGAACCAGCCAAGUAGCGUGAAGGAUGACUGCCCUAUGGGUUGUAAACUUCUUUUAUAUGGGAAUAAAACGUUCCACGUGUGGGAUUUUGUAUGUACCAUAUGAAUAAGGAUCGGCUAACUCCGUUCCAGCAGCCGCGGUAAUACGGAGGAUCCGAGCGUUAUCCGGAUUUAUUGGGUUUAAAGGGAGCGUAGGUGGAUUGUUAAGUCAGUUGUGAAAGUUUGCGGCUCAACCGUAAAAUUGCAGUUGAAACUGGCAGUCUUGAGUACAGUAGAGGUGGGCGGAAUUCGUGGUGUAGCGGUGAAAUGCUUAGAUAUCACGAAGAACUCCGAUUGCGAAGGCAGUUCACUGGACUGCAACUGACACUGAGGCUCGAAAGUGUGGGUAUCAAACAGGAUUAGAUACCCCAGUAGUC